rnacentral:rRNA from 1 species
UACGUAGGCAGCGAGCGUUGUUCGGAAUUACUGGGCGUAAAGAGUGUGUAGGCGGUGCUCCAAGUCUGUCGUGAAAUCUCCCGGCUCAACUGGGAGGGUGCGGCGGAAACUAGAGUGCUCGAGUGUGGGAGAGGUAAGCGGAAUUCCUGGUGUAGCGGUGAAAUGCGUAGAUAUCAGGAGGAACACCUGUGGCGAAAGCGGCGCACUGGACCACUACUGACGCUGAGGCGCGAAAGCUAGGGGAGCAAACAGG